rnacentral:rRNA from 1 species
CACGUACUGUGCGAACGUUAUUCGGAAUCACUGGGCUUAAAGGGUGCGUAGGCGGCGAUUCAAGUCAGAUGUGAAAUGCCUGAGCUCAACUGAGGCAUUGCGUUUGAAACUGAAUUGCUAGAGUAUUUCAGGGGUGUGCGGAACUGCCAGUGGAGCGGUGAAAUGUGUUGAUAUUGGCAGGAACACCGGAGGCGAAAGCGGCACACUGGGGAAUAACUGACGCUGAGGCACGAAAGCCAGGGGAGCGAACGGGAUUAGAUACCCCGGUAGUCCUGGCUGUAAACGAUGAGCACUGGGCGGGAGGGGGUUUCCCUUUUCUGCCGUAGCGAAAGCGUUAAGUGCUCCGCCUGGGGAGUAUGGUCGCAAGGCUGAA